AUGGUGAACUGGGGAAAAGAAUGACAUGAAUUAAACAUGCUCAUGCUCAGAGCAGAGUAUGUGCAGGAUUGCACUUUACAGAAAUAUGUACUUCCCUGACUUAAAGCAGCAUCAAAUUGCUUAAAUUCACCAGACAUGUCUAUAAAUUGUUACAUAAUAGAUAUGUACUGUACCAUACAUUAGUGCACACUUAAAGGCAUUCAGUCCAGCAUGCACAUGUAUUGUGUUGUGCUACUCUUGUACUGCAUAUAAAAUGGUUUCUUGUGUUUUAACAAUAAAUACUUUCUAUUUACAGCUGUUUUAGAGUGCUUUUGAAGAAAAUCUACACAAUAAGGACCGAGAAACUUUCCAAGCAGGCAGGAGACAAGGACCCUCAUUUAUUAAACUCAUAUGUGACCCUGGAGCACAAAACCAGUCAUAAGUAGCACAGGUGAUAUGAGAAAACACAGCCACGGCGGGUAAAGACACAAGCACUGCUCCGAUCAUGUGACGGGGAACCCAGCCGGAAAUGGCCCAGAGGAGGGUCCUGGUGCAGUUCAGGACUCUGUCCAGGAUCUGAGCAGCUGUUGCUGUGAACCGCCCCGUCUUCAGAAGUUAACGCACCACACGAGGGACAAGCAGACUGAAGGAAGAGAAGAAGGAAAUCAUCAAAUGGAAUUACGCGCAGCAGAGAGAACAGAACCGAACCCUUCACUUACUGUUUUAAUUCAAUAAAAAUUAUGCUAGAAGCAAUACUCCACAUGGAAAGAUCAGUGACGCUAUACUUUGUUCACAAUGUUAGUGUGCUUAUUGUUAUUAGCGCAUUGCUAUGGCAUUGCUAGGUGGCUUCUAGGAGCUUAAGUCUAAGAAUGCUUUGUUUUGAGUUCCAAUUAAAGGGAUA